AAACUUUCAACAACGGAUCUCUUGGUUCUCGCAUCGAUGAAGAACGCAGCGAAAUGCGAUACGUAAUGUGAAUUGCAGAUUUUCGUGAAUCAUUGAAUCUUUGAACGCACAUUGCGCCCUCUGGUAUUCCAGAGGGCAUGCCUGUUUGAGCGUCAUUUC
rnacentral:rRNA from 1 species